rnacentral:rRNA from 1 species
UACGGAGGGUGCAAGCGUUGUCCGGAAUCACUGGGCGUAAAGGGCGCGUAGGCGGCCUGAUAAGUCGGGGGUGAAAUCCUGCGGCUCAACCGCAGGGCUGCCUCCGAGACUGUCGGGCUGGAGCACGGUAGAGGCAGAUGGAAUUCCCGGUGUAGCGGUGGAAUGCGUAGAGAUCGGGAAGAACAUCAGUGGCGAAGGCGGUCUGCUGGGCCGUUGCUGACGCUGAGGCGCGACAGCGUGGGGAGCAAACAGG